UAAUUUCACCCUCGCCGAUUCUGGGUCGAUUCCACUCCCAACCGCCGUCGUUCUACUGAUUCAACCACCGGCAUCGCCUUCGAUUCCGCUCCCAAAAGCCGCCUAAGCCGUCAUUCUAGUAAUUCAACCACCACCACCAGCAUCGCGUUCGAUUUCGCCUUCGAUUCCACUCCCAUCGCGCUCAACUACUUAUAUUUAUUUGGGGAAUUUGUUCUAAGUUGCUUGCUGCAAAUGCAUAUACAGGUGAUCCCUUCGUCGCGGACGCUGAGACAUCGCAAGCAGCCGUUCGAAUUUUCAGUUGAGAAUAAAGAGGUGAUAAAGAGGAGGUUCUACAGGUAUGAACAUGGUGAUUAUGAUGCUCCCUCUGAAUCUUCUUCAUCUGACUCUGAAGUGGAGGUAGAGGCCACUGAUGAAACAGAAUAUGAAGAAGAAGAGGAGGAGGAGGAGGAGGGAGAUGAGGAGAAUGAAAAUGCUGUUGUAAGGCGAAAAGGAGAAACUUCUUCUUCUGGUUACGAGAGCGAGGAUAGUUCAGCAAAUGAAGUCAAUCUUGAUUCAUCAGGUAUGGCCUCAAGUGAUGAUGAUGUUGGAGCUCAAAAUGGUGCUGGAGCUUUUGCUACUGAUGAAGUCGACAAUGUGUUUGGCAAAGCACCACAUGGUCCCGAAAAAGAUGAGAGCCCCUUCGAUGUGAAAGAUUGUGUCGUAAAAUGCAAAUCAGUUUUCAAGUGCAGGCUCUGCCCUAGGAUUGUCUGCUUGUCCGAGGAGACACUAAAGGCUCAUCUAAGCUCCAAGCGACAUGCCCAGUCUGAGAAAUUGUAUAAAGAAGGGAGGCUUAAGGUUAUGCUCAACAGUGAGGGACGGAUCGAGGUUGAGAUUCAUCAUGAUAAUGAUGAUACAAAUACAGUUUCUAUGAAGAGUCCAACUAAAUCGAAGAAAAAGGGCAAAGGGCAAUGGAAACAGAGGAAGAGAUCAAAAUAGGAUACAAGGUCGGGUAAAGCGAGGCAAUCAGAGAAACGAGCGAAGAGGCAGAAGAACGAAUGAUGGUGAUGACGACGACGGCUCUUCUGCCUUCCGAUUUUUGUUUUAGGUAAAUUUUGUGCAAGACAAAAAACUAAAAUACAAUCAGACAAUCUUUGCUUUUCUCUGAUUAUGUUUUCAAUUUUGCCCGAAUCCUAAAUGAGUUAAGCCUUAUGAUACACAAAAUUUGAAAUCAUAGCAUGUUCUUAGAUUAAGGAGGCCUUCCGACUUGUUAGGGCUAGAGGGGGUCAGGGUGACCAUCGUGAUGAUGCACCCGCUCAUCUAGAUCUAAAUGAUGAUUCAGGCACACCAUCACGAGUACAUAAUUCAAUUCCCAUAGAUGCAGAAACUUCUAGUUCCGCUCCACCUUAAGCUUCAUCCACCACUAGAGCGCAGUGUUCUACCAUCAAUCAAAGUGACAGCAGGUAUGGAAUUAUUUGAAUUAAAUGGUUCUUUUUGUUUGAUUGAAAAGUAUUGUUGUAAUUUUAAUAUAAUUAUCUUUGCAUUAAUAUUUCAGCUUUUUGUGGACACCUAAGGUAACUAGUAAAUUUUGUAAA